AUACCUUUCUCGGCCUUUUGGCUAAGAUCAAGUGUAGUAUCUAUUUUUAUCAGUUUAAUAUUUGAUAUGUGGGUUAUCCGCUCACAAGAUAUUAACUCAACUUUUAAAGGGGAAGAUUUGUUAAGAUAGCUUGCUAUAUGCGUCGCCCUGGACUUGCACUAUAGCUUGGGCCUGGCGCACCCCAC
rnacentral:snRNA from 1 species